GAGAAUAAGUCACGGCUAACUACGUGCCAGCAGCCGCGGUAAUACGUAGGGUGACAAGCGUUAUCCGGAAUUACUGGGCGUAAAGCACGCAGGCGGCGCAUUAAGUCUGAUGUGAAAUCUCCCGGCUUAACUGGGAGGGGUCAUUGGAAACUGAUGUGCUUGAGGCGGUGAGAGGGGUGUAGAAUUCCCGGUGUAGUGGUGGAAUGCGUAGAUAUCGGGAGGAAUACCCAAGUGGCGAAAAGCGGCACCCCUGGCACUAGCCUGACGCUCAUGUGCGAAGGCGUGGGGAGCGAACGGGAUUAGAUACCCCGGUAGUCCACGCGGUAAACGAUGAAUACUAGGUGUGGGGGGAGUGAAAUCCUUCUGUGCCGAAGCAAACGCGCUAAGUAUUCCGCCUGGGGAGUACGGCCGCAAGGCUAAAACUCAAAGGAAUUGACGGGGGCC
rnacentral:rRNA from 1 species